CCGUCAUCUUAGAAACGGGUUUGAAGAAAAAAAAAAAAUUGUAAUUGAGAGAGAGAGAGAGAGGACGGGUAAAAAGUGGGUCUAUUGUUCUUCUUCUUCUUCACCGCCCCCGUGCUCAGAUACAAGCUCCCCAAACCCGAAAAUUCAUUGAGGUAGAAAGGAGUCGAGGUACCUCCCUCUGGUACGCUCCCCAAAGCCAUAUCACCGAUCAUGGGAUCGCUUAAUCCUAUUCUCGCCUCCGCCGAAAAACCGAGAUUGGAUUCACAAAAACACAAGAUUGGGAGGUCACCAACCAAGCCUGGAGCUGAUUCCAAGCAGAAUCGGUUCACACUGUCACAAAAACUGAGGAUUCGGUUUGUACAGUUGUUGUCUUGACAGCCGUAAUAGUCAUUGUAUAAUAUGUGAUAUUGUUAGUGGGCAAGGUUUCGUGGCCAUAGGAGGUUAAUAUCCAGAUACUUGCGGUGAGGUGAAGUUCGGAUCGGAGUUGGAUGAAGGUGGUGGUUGGGUCGAGGAUUGGUGGCCAUCGUCAGUUUCGGUGGUUCUGUGUUCCUUGCAUAACUCGAAAUGGGCCUGGGCGUUUGGGGUUUUUGUGUUUUUACUUAUUUUGUACGUUUUUUUUUUUUUUAUGAAUGGUUUUUUGAUAAUUUAUUUUAAUAAACUACAGUUUGUUAUCUCAAA